rnacentral:rRNA from 1 species
AUGGCUCUACCGUCCGCCGCGGCGACGACGACGCUCCGUCUGAUUCUACGCCGCCGCUCCCCGCCAUUGCCCCGGUGGCUUCCGAGGAUGCGAAGAAGAAGCAGCGGGUGGAGGAGCAGCAGGCCGCGCCGAGCCUCCCCGAGGGCGCCAUCGUCGAGAUCCUUUCCCGGCUGCCCUACAGGUCCCUCUGCCGCUUCAAGUGCGUGUCCAAGCCCUGGCUCGCCCUCUGCUCCGCGCCAGACAUCCGCAAGAGGUCGCCACAGACCCUCUCCGGCUUUCUUCUACCAUGAUGAAGGCGAUGCUCUCAGUUUCUGCAACUUGAAUGGGAGAGGUCCGCCUCUGGUCGACCCAUCUCUCCCUUUCUUGCGCAGAACGUACCGCCAAAUUUCUGUCCGGCAGGUCUGCGCCGGCCUUCUCCUCUGCAGCUGCUCCAAUUCUUCGCGAGACCAAAGCUACUGGAACUGGGAUUCUUCGCGAGACGAAAGCUGUUAUGUUGUCUGCAAUCCUGCCACAGAGGAGUGGACUGUGCUGCCUCCUGUCGGAUAUCCAGACGGCGAUCCAAUCCCUUUCCUAGGCUUCGACGCUGCUGUUCCAUCCCGCUUUGUGGUGUUUGCGCCCCGGCCCAAUACGUUUAGUGUCGACGGUUCUGCGCAAGUGGCAAUCUACUCGUCGGAAACUGGACGGUGGACUCAUCUGCAGAGUGGGUGGUCACCGGAUCCUACCAUUAUUCAUAGCAGGUACACCCAGGCCUUCCUGAAUGGCACUAUCCAUUUGCGUAGCAUUGGUCAUAAAAUAGCCACAGUCGACGCUGAGGGGAAAGUUUGGAGGGUCAUUACAAUGCCAGGCGACUCGUCAAAAAUCUGUGAUGUUGGGCAGUCUCAAGGACGCUUGUAUGCAUGGAAGAUAGAUAAUUCUCAUGACUGCCAGCUCUAUAUUUGGGUCCUUGAGGAUUAUGGUACUGGAAAGUGGACCCUACAACACACUAUUAAUGUUUUGGAGCUGUUCGCAAGGAAUCAGCGCGAAGAUGGAGAUUCUUAUGCGAUGUUUGCAGUUCAUCCGGAUUGCAACAUGAUCUUUCUUACUGACGACAAGAACAUGACAUUGUCGUAUGACAUAGAUAAUCGGAAAGUGACUGUUAUCUGCACUGAAGGAAUGAAGGGUCUGCCUUAUACUCCCUGUUUUGCGGAAUUGCCCUCAGCUGGUCAUUGA